UUCUUCUACCUUCCCUCGCGCACCACCUCGUCCUGUUCUCCGUCUCCCCCCCUCUCCUCCGCCCGCGGCGGCGCUUCCUCUCCCCUCGACCCCAAUGGAUCUCCGUGGGAAACCUCUAAAUCCCAACAAACGCCUCAAAGAAGAAUUUGUUAGCAACCUCACGGGAACGUCGAUGUUGGAGAUCGCCGCCCUAACCGCUAUCGUACCCGCUUUGAUCGUCAUCCGGCAAUGGAUCAGCUUCACCCGCGUAAACGGUCAUCUCAAUGCUAAGGAAGCUGUGGUAAAGAAAAAUGACAACGCAACUUCUUGUACUAAAGAUCGGAGGAGUCACACAGUUGCACUGGCUAUGGAUUAUUUGUGUGUUGUUGUGCCAAUUCUUUUAGUUUUCACAGUUCUUGCUGAAUGGGCUUAUACAUGCACAAGCCUUGUGGGACUUUUGCUGCUUUUCUUGAUUUUAGCUAGAAGGCACAGAUCUGAUUUUCAUUUUAAUGAUGGGUCACAACGUUUAUCUUCAUUCAGAACAUAUAUUUCAUCAUACCGAGUAUCAGUGAUGUUGGUGACAUGCUUGUGCAUAUUGGCCGUGGACUUCAAAAUCUUUCCCAGACGCUAUGCUAAGACUGAAACAUAUGGUACUGGUUUGUCAUUAAUUGUUGAUAUCUACUCCAUGGGUUCAACAGAUGGAUGUCGGAGUGGGAUUAUUUGUUGUGACAAAUUCAUUAGUCUCAAAACAAGCACGGAAUGCCAUGUCAAUGUUAGUCCGAAUUGGAAGGCAGCAUUUCAAUCUAUAAGUCCACUAGUAUUGCUGGGAUUUGGUCGGCUUAUUUUCACAACAGGUGCAGAUUAUCAGGUUCAUGUGGGGGAAUAUGGUGUUCACUGGAAUUUCUUUUUCACUCUUGCAGCUGUAACUGUCCUAACAUCUAUAAGUAACAUCCAUCCCAAAUAUUGUGGAAUAUUUGGUUUGUUGAUUCUAACAGCAUAUCAGAUAUGCUUGAGACAUGGUUUAAGUACAUAUUUGAUUUCAAAUGAAAGGACAGCAGAUAUCAUCAGCCAAAAUAAAGAAGGACUUUUCAGUGUAUUUGGAUAUUGGGGUAUGUACCUAAUUGGUGUUCAUCUAGGGUAUAAAAUAUUCUUUGGAAAUCAUUCAUCCUCCACCGUUGGAUAUACUCAACAGACAAGAGUUACAGUUUGGACUCUUUUUGCUUUGUUUUGGUUCCUCACUGUCAUUCUGGACAAUUAUGUGGAAAGAGUUUCUCGUCGAACGUGCAACCUGGCAUAUGUGAUGAUAGUAUUUGCCCAGACCUUCCAGACUAGUCAGUUUUAUGGUGUGGCAAGUAUCAGGUUUAGUCAGCUGCGCAAUUAUUGUGUUUAGUUACCGAAGGGGAUGCCAUUAACAUGAAUAUACAUGUGGAGCAUGAUGCAUUUGGUCAUGUAAUCUAAAAUAUUGUCCAGACCAAAAUCUUAUGUACCAUGCAAACUUUGUCAGGUGAAUGUGCUUCAGUAUGAAUUUUCUAGACAGAAAAUAUAAUUUCUAUUUUAUUAGUUUAUGUUUCUCGAAUUGCAGCAGGCUCUUCCUUUCUUUAUUUGUUUCAAACUUCAAAAUCAUAAUAAGUGACUGCAUAAAUUGUCUGAUAAAUAUGCUAUAAAUACUGUAGGAAUGGUCAGGAACUCAAGAGAUAAAUCUUCAAUGCAUCGCUUAUGCUGUAUUCUUUACAUUCGUAUAUUUAAAUAGUAAGAGAAGAUGAAUGCUCUGUUGAUCCAGGAGAUUGCUUUAGUCCUAUCAAUGUGUGCAGACUUUAUCAAGAAGUAGUCUGGGUACUUAAUAUUAUUGUUUAUGUUAGCCCUGGGUUUUUGGAGGCCAACAAUAUGAUUGAUGAUUUUGGCUUAGGAAUGUAGCAGAGGUGAGUGCCACAUUUGUUGGACAUUAUCAUACUUACCAAAUUUGUUUAACCACUUUUGUCUAAUCUUCAGAAAGAAAAUCAUUUUUUCAGAUAAAACAGAAUAUUUUUUCCUCUAAAAAAGGUGGUUCAAUGCAUGAGGCUCCUGCCAUUGCAGGGUCUGGGGAGAGUCAGACGAAUGCAGCCUUACCGUGUGAGAGAUUAUUUCUGUAUUUCAAACAGGUUUUAUCGAUUCUCAUGCUUUCGGAUUUCACUUAUGUGCAAAAGCCUUUAGUACUUGAAGAGGCAUUCAAUCAGAAUAUGCUGGGAACCUUUCUUCUG